AUGAAUUCUUUGAAUACCCAUGAUUCUAAUGAUAUGCAAAGCCACAAGCAUGGGGAUGCUAUGUUUGAUGAAGAUGAUAUGUUUAGUCCCCCAAGUUUUGAUGAGCAAAUUUACUAUGAUGAAAGCAUGCCUCCUAUUUAUGAUGAUUAUUGUGAUGACACGUAUGCUAUAAAGAAUAAAGAUAACCAUGAAACUUGUCAUCAUCAUUUUAAUUUUCAAUUGGAUUAUUCUUCACAUGAUACUUAUUUUGUUGAGUUUGAUCCCACUACUAUUGAUGAGAAUAAAUUUGCGUAUAUGGAGAGUAGUAAAUUUUUUAUGCAAGUAGAUCAUGAAAAUAAUGCUCUAGGUGCUGGUUAUAUGGUUGAAUUCAUUCGUGCUGCUACUGAAAAUUAUUAUGAGAGAGGAUCAUAUGCUUCUACAUAUUGCAAUAAUAUCAAGUUUCCUCUCUAUGUGUUGAAAAUCUUGAAGAUUUGCUUGUUUUGCCUUCCUAUGCUAGUUGAUUAUUGUUCCCAUAAAUUAUUUGCUCACAAAAUCUCUAUGAAUAUGAAGUGGGUUAGACUUAAAUGUGCUAGUCAUAUUCUUCGUGAUGCUCUCUUUAUGCUUCAAUUCUUAUCUUUUAUGUGA
rnacentral:rRNA from 1 species